rnacentral:misc_RNA from 1 species
UACGGAGGGUGCUAGCGUUAAUCGGAUUUAUUGGGCGUAAAGGGCGCGUAGGCGGGGAUGUCAGUCAGACGUGAAAUCCCGGGGCUCAACCCCGGAACUGCAUUUGAAACUACAUCUCUUGAGGAUGGACGGAGAAAACGGAAUUCCGCAUGUAGCGGUGAAAUGCGUAGAUAUGCGGAAGAACACCGGUGGCGAAGGCGGUUUUCUAGUUCAUUCCUGACGCUGAGGCGCGAAAGCUAGGGGAGCAAACAGG